UGAGGUGGUGUCGGAGCUGAGGUGGUGUCGGAGCUGAGGUUGUGUCGGAGCUGAGGUGGUGACGGAGCUGAGGUGGUGUCGGAGCUGAGGUUGUGUCGGAGCUGAGGUUGUGUCGGAGCUGA